rnacentral:rRNA from 1 species
GACAAAGUGACAGGUGGUGCAUGGUUGUCGUCAGCUCGUGUCGUGAGAUGUUGGGUUAAGUCCCGCAACGAGCGCAACCCUUGAUUUUAGUUGCCAGCAUUUAGUUGGGCACUCUAAAGUGACUGCCGGUGCAAGCCGGAGGAAGGUGGGGAUGACGUCAAAUCAUCAUGCCCCUUAUGACCUGGGCUACACACGUGCUACAAUGGAUAGUACAAAGGGUCGCGAAGCCGCGAGGUGGAGCUAAUCCCAUAAAACUAUUCUCAGUUCGGAUUGUAGGCUGCAACUCGCCUACAUGAAGCCGGAAUCGCUAGUAAUCGUGGAUCAGCAUGCCACGGUGAAUACGUUCCCGGGCCUUGUACACACCGCCCGUCACACCACGAGAGUUUGUAACACCCGAAGUCGGUAGGGUAACCUUUAUGGAGCCAGCCGCCGAAGGUGGGACAGAUAAUUGGGGUGAAGUCGUAACAAGGUAGCCGUAUCGGAAGGUGCGGCUGGAUCACCUCCUUUCUAAGGAA